UGGCUCACUGGAUAGAGCGUCAACCUGUAAAUUGAAGGGUCCCAGGUUCAAUUCCUGG
rnacentral:tRNA from 1 species